GAAUUUCUUGCCUUGACUAGAUGCUCCUAUCUCUUGGAGCAAAUAGGAUUCUUGAAUGCCUUAUUCUGCACUGGUCUCCUUUGUUAUUAUGGGUUCUCAGUAGAAAACGAAUGAAAUAAGAAGAUCACCAAAGGCCAAGAAGGACCGUCUUUACAGUUAAAAGUGCAUGAGAUUGCCUUGGCACUCCCAGA